UUUUUGAAAUAAUAAUUUAAAGUCUAAUCUGCCCACUGAUAAUAAAUUAAAGGGCUGCAGUAUUUUGACUGUACAAAGGUAGCAUAAUCAUUAGUCUCUUAAUUGGUGACUUGUAUGAAAGAUUUGAUGAAAUAUAUACUGUCUCUUUUUAAUUUAUAGAAUUUAAUUUUUUAGUUAAAAAGCUAAAAUAUAUUUAAAAGACGAGAAGACCCUAUAGAGUUUAAUAUUUACUUAAUUUAUUAAAAUUUUUUAUAAAAUUUAUAAUUUUAAUAUGUGUAAAUAUUUUGUUGGGGUGAUAAAAAAAUUAAAAUAACUUUUUUUUUAUAAUUUUACAUUAAUAAAUGAGUAAGUGAUCCGUAAUUUACGAUUAUAAGAAAAAAUUACCUUAGGGAUAACAGCGUAAUUUUUUUUUUUAGUUCAAAUAAGAAAAAAAGUUUGCGACCUCGAUGUUGGAUUAAGAUAAAAUUUGAAUGCAAAAGUUUAAAAUUUUUGAUCUGUUCGAUCAUUAAAAUCUUACA
rnacentral:rRNA from 1 species